rnacentral:rRNA from 2 species
UGGGGAAUAUUGCACAAUGGGGGAAACCCUGAUGCAGCGACGCCGCGUGAACGAAGAAGGUAUUCGUAUCGUAAAGUUCUGUCCUAUGGGAAGAUAAUGACAGUACCAUAGAAGAAAGCUCCGGCUAAAUACGUGCCAGCAGCCGCGGUAAUACGUAUGGAGCGAGCGUUGUCCGGAAUUAUUGGGCGUAAAGGGUACGCAGGCGGUUUAAUAAGUCGAAUGUUAAAGAUCGGGGCUCAACCCCGUAAAGCAUUGGAAACUGAUAAACUUGAGUAGUGGAGAGGAAAGUGGAAUUCCUAGUGUAGUGGUGAAAUACGUAAAUAUUAGGAGGAAUACCAGUAGCGAAGGCGACUUUCUGGACACAAACUGACGCUGAGGUACGAAAGCGUGGGGAGCAAACAGG